AGGAUAUCCUUUCUUUUUUUGAUCAUCACGGCACAUGGCUAGAGCUGAAUUUGAGAAUUGUGCUCACAUGUUGGAUGGAUUUGCCUUAUACGUAUCAGGAAGUGAAUAUAAGAGUUUUUCAUUCUUGAGAAAAGAAAAAAAUACCCACUUCAGUGUUUUGGGAUUUGAAUUAUUCUAUCUGCCUAAUCAAGCCGUAAUCGUUAGACCUCACUUCAGGCCAUCCACUAUAUACAGGCCUUUUUAUUUUUGCGCUUUCGCUUUAUCUCUUCGUUGUACGCUGGUUAUAUCUUGACGAUUAGCUUAUUGUUACCUUUGUUACGUUACUACAAGAAGUCUCUGGUAACCAGAAGAUCAUUGAUUACAACUCUACCACUUACCAAAGAAUCUCAAGAUCAUUUAUGAACACACCAGAUCUCUACAAACUUUCGAACGAAGAGAAUAUCAAUUGGAGAAAGAUAUAUGCUGGCAACACCUUGAUCAGGCGAGCUAUUUCUAUCAUUUCUAUUGCUUUACCUAUAUCAAUAUCACACCUCUUGUUGCUUGUCAAUUAUCCUGUUUAUUGGUUACAUUUGAAUGCUGCUUUUUGGCUGUGAAGCCUUAUCUACCAGUGAUUCU